rnacentral:rRNA from 1 species
GGUGCGUAACACGUGGGUAAUCUGCCGCGAAGUCCGGGAUAACUUGCUGAAAGGCGAGCUAAUACCAGAUGUGACUGUCGGGAGGCGUCUCCUGGCAUUCAAAGUUGGGGACCGUAAGGCCUGACACUUCACGAUGAGCCCGCGGCCUAUCAGCUAGUUGGUGAGGUAACGGCCCACCAAGGCUAAGACGGGUAGCUGGUCUGAGAGGACGACCAGCCACACUGGAACUGAGACACGGUCCAGACACCUACGGGUGGCAGCAGUCGAGAAUUUUUCUCAAUGGGCGAAAGCCUGAAGGAGCGACGCCGCGUGGGGGAUGAAGGGCUUCGGCCUGUAAACCCCUGUCAUUUGCGAUCAAGGCGACCGACCUAAUACGUCGGGCGUUGAUAGUAGCGAAAGAGGAAGGGACGUCUAACUCUGUGCCAGCAGCCGCGGUAAUACAGAGGUCCCAAGCGUUGUUCGGAUUUACUGGGCGUAAAGGGUGCGUAGGUGGCAAGGUAAGUUCGGUGUGAAAUCUCCAGGCUUAACCCGGAAACUGCACUGGAUACUAUCUAGCUCGAGGAUCAUAGGGGAGACUGGAAUUCUCGGUGUAGCAGUGAAAUGCGUAGAUAUCGAGAGGAACACCAGUGGCGAAAGCGAGUCUCUGGACGAUCCCUGACACUGAGGCACGAAAGCUAGGGGAGCAAACAGGAUUAGAUACCCUGGUAGUCCUAGCCCUAAACGGUGCAUGUUUGCUGUGGGAGGAAUCGACCCCUUCCGUGGCGAAGCUAACGCGUUAAACAUGCCGCCUGGGGAGUACGGCCGCAAGGUUAAAACUCAAAGAAAUUGACGGGGGCCUGCACAAGCGGUGGAGUAUGUGGCUUAAUUCGAUCAACGCGAAGAACCUUACCUGGCCUUGACAUGUAGGUGGUAGAAGCCUGAAAGGGCAACGACCCCGCAAGGGGAGCUUACACAGGUGCUGCAUGGCUGUCGUCAGCUCGUGUCGUGAGAUGUUGGGUUAAGUCCCGCAACGAGUGCAACCCUCGUGUCCUGUUGCGACCCGGAUGAGAAUUCGGAGCACUCUGGACAGACUGCCACAUUUUCAUGUGGAGGAAGGUGGGGAUGACGUCAAGUCAGGAUGGCCCUUACGGCCAGGGCUGCACACGUACUACAAUGCCCGGUACAAAGAGAAGCAAGACCGCAAGGUGGAGCUAAUCUCGCGAAACCGGGCCCAGUUCAGAUUGUCGGCUGCAACUCGCCGACAUGAAGCUGGAAUCGCUAGUAAUGGCGCAUCAGCUACGGCGCCGUGAAUACGUUCCCAGGCCUUGUACACACCGUCCGUCACAUCAUGAAAGCCGGUUGUACCCGAAGUCAGCGCGUUAACCGCAAGGAGACAGCUGCCGAAGGUAUGGCUGGUGAUUGGGAUGAAGUCGGAACAAGGUA